rnacentral:rRNA from 1 species
AGCCUACGGGAGGCAGCAGUGGGGAAUAUUGCACAAUGGGGGAAACCCUGAUGCAGCAACGCCGCGUGAGUGAAGAAGUCAUUCGUGAUGUAAAGCUCUAUCAGCAGGGAAGAAAAUGACGGUACCUGAGUAAGAAGCCCCGGCUAACUACGUGCCAGCAGCCGCGGUAAUACGUGGGGGGCAAGCGUUAUCCGGAUUUACUGGGUGUAAAGGGUGCGUAGACGGAAGAACAAGUUGGUUGUGAAAUCCCUCGGCUCAACUGAGGUACUGCAACCAAAACUAUUCUCCUUGAGUGUCGGAGAGGA